UACGUAGGGUGCGAGCGUUAAUCGGAAUUACUGGGCGUAAAGCGUGCGCAGGCGGUUCGUUAUGUCCGAUGUGAAAGCCCCGAGCUCAACUUGGGAAUGGCAUUGGAAACUGGCGGGCUGGAGUGUGGCAGAGUGGGGUGGAAUUCCACGUGUAGCAGUGAAAUGCGUAGAGAUGUGGAGGAACACCGAUGGCGAAGGCAGCCCCCUGGGCCAACACUGACGCUCAGGCACGAAAGCGUGGGGAGCAAACAGG
rnacentral:rRNA from 1 species